CAGGCCAGCGAAUGUGGAUGGCUUCGUUUGGACCUGCUUGUUGGGAAAAUAGAAUAACUUGCUCAGGCUCCCCUCGCCUCAGGUCCGGUUGGGGGUGGUUCAGUGAACAAGUGGUGUGUGGGUGGGUGGAGUUAGUGCGUCUGCGCAGUGCCGCCGCCUGGGCUGGAGUUGACUGCCUUCGGUGGCCGCGGCGCUUGGGGACGUGUUUUCCAACCUACGGCUUCCAGGGAUGUUUGCUGGUUACCCAGCUCAUUGACCUGCCCGUGAGGGGUCUGGGGGCCUAGCCUGGCAUGUGAAGGGUUUGUGACCCAGUCUGUGAACGGGCUUGAGGGGUCUGUGAGCUGGAGACCCAGCCCUAGCUCCACAACUGGCGUGGUUGAGUAGCCAAACACUGCUCCCCCACUCCAGGUUAUUCUGGGUUACCCUCACAGCACCCUGUGAUGGAAGGGAUUUAGGCUCUCCUUAGUAAUCCAUUGCCCCUCCCCAAGAUGGGAAUCCAGACAAGGGGCCAUCCAGCAGCUCCUUGGUUCCUCUGACUAAUAAGAAACUCACUACCUAUUAAUACUGAGAAAGUUCUUAAGCUAACACCCCCUUAUGCCUGGCCUAUUCAUUCAUUCAACCAGUGUUUACAGAGCACCUACUGUGUGUGAAAGACUGGGCACUGGUUUACAUAAUGAGGAUUUAGCCAUGACAAAACCAAGUUGAUGUUUCAGGAUUUUUCUGAGUGUGUGAAUCACUUUCCCCUGGAAGCCCUCUUAGCAGCAUGCUGGGUUAAGCCUCUCUUCUCUGCCCUGCAGACUUCCGGACUUCCCCCCAUCAGUACUGACCACAUCUACAUUUCCAUAAGUGGGAGAGGGUGGAGCCUCUUGAUUUGAGCCUGACUCCCGCUCCAAGGUGCUUGGUAACAGUUUUUGCACCAAUGCCCAGUGAAAGCUGAUUCCUGAGCUUUGAAAUAGGAGCUGGGCUGGGCCAGGUGAAACCUGGGUCUGGCUGGGGCACAGCUGGAAGAGCAGGCCUCAUGGAAGAGACUGCCUUGUGCAGGGAGCCAGGGUUUCUGCAACCUUAGAGCGGGUCUCAACCACUGUUUCUUUCUUUUUUUUUUUAAAGAUGACCGGUAAGGGGAUCUUAACCCUUGACUUGGUGUUGUCAGCACCACGCUCACCCAGUGAGCAACCAGCCAUCCCUAUGUGGGAUCCGAACCCGUGGCCUUGGUGUUAUCAGCACCACACUCUCCCGAGUGAGCCACAGGCCGGCCCUCAACCACUGUUUCUGAGAUUCAGCCAACACCUGGGGCCAUUACCCAGGAGGAGAGACGUGGUCAUUUGUUUCAAUGCAGGCGGUGGUGGUCAGAAUCUGGAGGCAGGGAUAACCGCUGCAUAUUUCAAACUUGUAAGCAAAAGGCAGGUGGCCUGUUACCAGGAGACUUCCUGCAUGGAUCGAGGAGGAAAGAACAUUCCUCCUGGCCUGAGGAGCAGCCCACCUCCCACAGAGACAUCUCUGUGACCCUGACCUCUGCCCACCCUUGUUCUUCCUUCCAUCUGGAAUUUCCCCCUGCUCUUCUCUAAGCUGGCUCGUUGUCUUCCUUCAGCUACCCACUCAGAUGUCACCUUCCUUGUCCACCCUGUGCAAAAUUGGUCCCCAAUUCUAGUUCUCUUUAUUCCAUCACCUUCUUUUAGAACACUUCCAAUGCUGCUUAUUCACUGGGAUUGUUGUCUGACUUGUCCACUAGAAUGUAAGCUUCAGGAAUGCAGAAGCCUUACCUUUUUCUACCUUAUUUUUUACUAGCUGUACCUUCUGUGGAGGGUGUUUGUUAAGUGAAUGAAGUUCUGUCCCAGGUAAUAUAAGGAUUUUUUUUUUUUCAUGUAAAGAAUUGAAGCUAGAAGUCAAGAAAACGAGAUCCUGCUCUGCUACUAAUUUUUUUUUUUUUUUUUUUUUGCAUCUGGCCUGUACCGGGAUCAAACCCUGACCUUGGUGCUACCAGCACCACGCUCUAGCUAACUGAGCCAACUGGCUAACCCUGUUUUUCUUUAUCUCUUCAUAUCUACCUUUUACACAAAGGAUUGGAGUCAUCUUAUCAACAUACAGCUGUCCGGUACUGGGAUCAAACCCUGGAUCUUAAAAUAUUCUUGUUUUUUUAGAAAAGGGAAUACAAAAAUCAAUAAAAAGGGCUGGCCAAGGUCAAGGGUUUGGAUUCCUGGCCAGCCAGCGGCCAACAACAACAAAAGGAACUGAAUUGGAUGAAACCUCUAGAGCUAAUCAUCUGUUUACAGGAAAUGCAGGGACAGAGAAUGUUACAGCACCCCACGCGGAUAUGAUCCGCAAAAUUAAGAAUGUGGAAAACUCUAAGGGCAAACAACCCAAGUUCUUCAGCACAAAUUGCAGGAGGAGAAAAGCUGGUGCCUAGAAAGAUAGCUGCAUGGACUUGCUUCCAGACCACUAGGCUUAAAUCUUGACCUUGAUUCUUACUGGCUGUACAA